CUCCUCCUCCUCCUCCUCCUGAGAACCAACAUGGCGGAAGCAGCGCGCACGUGUCCGUGUGUCCCAGAAACACAACAGCACCCGCAAUCUUCCAAGAAGAUUGUGGGAAAAAUAAGAGGCCAUAUCUAUUGACCACAGGCUACUACUGUUUUUGAAAUAUGCCUUCUACCCAAUACGUCCCUCAAGGUAAGAUGCAGUAAGUAAGGGCACCUUUCCAAUAAAAUUUUAACAUCCAAAGGAGUGAAGUAGCGAUGUGUUUUAGCACCUUCCCUGUUCACUAUUCAUCAAGCACAACUUGUUAGACUAUUUAAACAUUCCUGAUUUCCACCCUCCAACAUUAGCCAAUCAUAAGAGACCUCUGCUUUUGUAUGCUGAUGGCAUAGUUAUCUUUUUGAGCACCCCUGUGGAACUUAGAAGGGACUUAAGGAAGUUUAGUUAUUUUUGUGAGGAGAAUCAGCUUGUGUUCAAUUACCAUAAAGUUGUGCAAAAUCUGGGUGCAGAAAGAAUAAAAAUGGGUGUCCAACAAGUGACAGCCACUGCAAUGUGCCACUGGGAUACUUUAAAGGGGCCGUCUUUUCAGAGAUCAUGAAAAGAGAAGAGUUCUGGUCACAGUGCAAGGAGACAAGACAGGUUGCACUAAGAAGUCACCUGGGAUACUCAAGGGAGAACCAAAGAAGGGGUAGGGGAAUCAAUUGUCUGACAGGUGCAUAGUGGGCUGCUCCACAAACAACCCGCACUGCAUAGCUUAUUUACAUGUUAGUUUAUCAUGUUUCACAAACAUAUUCAAAGUAAGUAAAGCUGUCUUUUUGUACUGAAGAGAGAGUUCAAAUGUAUGUUGUGCAAGUAUGCAGAAAGACAAUGAGUUUUAUUUAAUUCUCUUACUGUACUCAUAGAAGGUACUUUGAUCCAGCAGAGGCAGGAGAUUGUUUUCAGAGAUUCCUCCUUCCACGCAGGUUUCCUUAUGACUUCCCACACAGUUAUGAAAGGCAAAAUUUUAGGGGAUGAUGAGGGGUUCAGUAGAAAGGAAAAAUCAGCAGAAUUUGCCUCCUCGUCUGCUAUUCAUAGAAGCUUGUGCUGGAUCAAAAAUCAGUGAGUAGACUAGUACCACUGGAUGUAACACAAUGUUUUGUACACAUAAUACCUACUUGUUUUUAAGUGAUACUAUUGCCUUGGCAUAUGAACUGAACAACAAAAGCAUUCUAUUUCAAAACUAGAAAUUUACCUGCUAUAUAAGUUAUCCCAUAUGUUUUGAGGUAGCAUUACUACUAGGUCCUCUAUAGAAGUAGCCUUGUGUGGAGGAACUCCUGUGGAAAUGAAGAGGUUUCACUUGAAUAGUGUUGCCAUUCUAAGUAUUAACCAAAUAUUUAAAUAAAGCAUAUAUUUCAGUAAGUCUAUUUCAGUGGAGUUGAAUACAAUAAAAAAGUCAACCUCUGACUCUGCAAGUUGAGCAGUUUAAGUCAUCUGAAGAAAUGUGUGUAAUCGCUUUCACUUGCAACUAAAUGGGGAAAUAAUUGCAUUUUGAGUUCAUAUCUAGCAUUAGGUCAAUAAUCUGUCUACAAAAUCUUAUUCUUUUGUCUUAAUUUAUGGAAUAGUCCUCAAAUUUCAGAACAUAAACAAAAACAAAUUCUGAACAAUUACUUGGUUUCAAUAUGCCCCAACCACAGAGGAAGAUCUUUAAUUUCCACCGGCCCCACCAUGGCUACAGCCCCAGGCCCUUCCAAAAUGUUCCAGAAAUAGUUUCAACCUUUAGAAAGUUGCAAAAGUCUACUGCCAGAAAAGUGUAUUAUGUGUAAUAUAAACUUCCUCAUGCCACUUUAUUUCAAGCCUCAGAGCCAAACCUGGAUACAGUUCAUUAGCAACCUUGAACAAAUAAGCUAUGCAGUGUGAAUUAUUUGUAGAAAAAAUCAUAGUGCACCUGAAAGAUGCACUGUAGCUUGUUCUCCUCCCCUUCCCUGUGUCUUCCAGCUAGUUUUCCAGUGUCCUUCACACCACAUCCUCUUAUCUCCCCUCUGCCUUUGAUUGCUACCCCUUUUGGUUCACCACUUAAUUUUUUUAAAUCUUCCAGAGCUUCCAAAAAACUCAAUUGGGGUCAUAUUUCUGUCCUUCCUCCUGAAACUGUAUAUUUGCAUUUGUCAUAUGUCUUUUUUGAGGGGGGGGGCUUAGUCUUUCAUAGGUGUUCAAGUGAUAUCUGAUCUCGGUUAUCUGAUAUGUGUAGUCUUGCCUCGUCAAUGGCUUUUAAGUUUCAGUUGUCAAAGGAACCAGUAAAGAGGCAUAGGUAACAUACAUGGAAAAUGAGAAGGCAAGACUGCAUAAAAGUACUUUGGCCACAAUUGCUAGCUCUUAGUUGAAAAGCAAAGAAGAAAAAACCACAAACAGUAAGUGUAUCAGAAGGGGUUAAUAUCAUCCAUUAGUAAUGUAAUUCUCCGGCUUUUAAGUGUUGAACUUAUAUUUCACUAUGCCCAUCACCUUUUCAGUGCUUUCUAGAGACUCCACUUAUGCCACAGAAGGGAAAUGGUUAAUAAUCCCACGUAUUUGACAACUUUCCCUUUCACUGCAAAUAUUGUUACAGUUACUGUGGUUUCCUGACAAUUCUAAAAAUGCACAUUUUGGGUUGAAUGGGAAAUAGAUACCAGUAACAGGGAAAUAUACUGAAAUAUAAUGGCUGAGAAGCAAAUGGAGGCAAAAUUUUAAUGAAGGUGUACACAUUUUUUCUUUCACUGUACUGCUUUUAAAUUGGUCCAAAUUUCACCUCCAUGUACCUAUUAAAUUUUUGCAUAUUUUUCAGUCCCAAAAAUAGCAAAUAUUGUCAACAGGUUUAAGAAAAGAAACCUUAGAGGUGGCAAAUGAAUGUAGCAAAAGGGGUACUAGAACCAGUAGUACUUACACCAGCCUCCCUCACAGGGGCCCAUUCAGCCACCUCUUCAGGGUUUACUUAGAACAGUUAGAGAUGAAGGAUGAUAAAAGUAAACUGACAAAUAACCAAAGUCAAAUAAAACAAGUUUUCAGGGCAAAAAAAUGAAUUUUCAUCUUCACAUAAUUGUAUUCUCACCUCCAUGUACGCAAAGGAAAUCAUUAUUUGAAAUUGGUCCUGGCUCUGCAAAAGUCCUAUAUUUAUUCAACCACUGUCGGGAAAUGUAAAAUUGGAGCAGACUUGGUUCCAUUACAUUAAAGCUUGAUACCCUCUGUC